rnacentral:lncRNA from 1 species
CAACUGCAGAAUAUAUUGUUUUAGUUUGGCUUAAUUAAACUUUAAAAUGGAUAUAAAGAUCAAAAGGUUCAAUAAUUGCACAGCUCCUACACUUAUCCUCAUGCCCACAUAUAUACAAAUCUGGUUUUUUUUCGAAAGAAAAAAAAUACCAGAUUUGAAUUUCCAAUAUUAAGAAAGUCUCUCCAUCAAAAUAUCAGUUCAGCACUGCCACCACAUAUAAAGCUUACUCAAACAAAAGGGAUGCAGCAAACCUGAUUUCUCUACAAAAGUAAUUCAAAUCAGCAACAAUGUUGGAUUUGUGCAAGUUUUGGGUGAAAAGGCAGAGACAUGCUUUUCUUUUUAUGGAAAAUAAAUUACUGAUAUCUCAAUGCAAGUUUAAAACCAAAGAAAAUAUCUCAUUACAUAUCCUAAGUCCUAAUCUAAUCUGGAAAAGUUAAUGGUAUCAGUACUAGGAUAAAUCUCACUGACAGUUAUAUGUCCUAGAUAAUCAUUGGAUAGUCAGGGCAAAACUAAGCACAAAAGCAUAAAUAAAUGCAUGUUGGAACUGUACACAUAACUUUUAGCUUAAAUCAAUAAUUGUGAAGUCUUUUACAAAAAGUUUGACUUUCUCCCCCCAAAGGCAAGAAAAUAUGAAAAUGCCAAUUUAAACAAACAAAAAUAAAUAUACCUGGUUCCGACUCAGAGGCCGUUGCUCCCAAUUGCUAUUCCGUCUCAUUUUAUUCAAACCCACUCCCAAUAUUUUCUGAUUUGAAAGAAUGUAAAACAACAAUGGGUAGAACAAGAUUGCGAAUUAAACAAGCCUGAGUUCAAAUGCAUAAGAGAAUAUAUGAGUGACAGGAACUGCUGGUGGAAUUUUUAAUGUUUUAA